AGCAGCUUGUUCUCACUCGUCUCAAACCAUGAUCUCCUCAUCUCUCUGGUUGUUGCUGCUGCUGGCAGCUGCUUCUCGUGUCCACUGUGUUGAACUGACUCAGACUGAUUCUCUUGUCUUAAGUCCUGGUCAGGUUUUGACUCUGUCCUGUAAAAUCUCUGGAUAUUCAGUGACUGACAGCAGCUACUGUACUAACUUCAUUCGGCAGCCUGCAGGAAAAGCCCUGGAAUGGGUUGGAGGCAUAUGUGGUAGCGGUAACACAUAUUACAGUGAUAAACUGAGGUUCACAGUGUCCAGAGAUGAUUCCAGCAGUCAACAGUACCUACAGAUGAACAGCCUCAAGACUGAAGACACUGCUGUGUAUUACUGCGCUAAAGAGUCACUGUGA